rnacentral:rRNA from 1 species
GAUGAACGCUGGCGGCGUGCCUAAUACAUGCAAGUCGAGCGAACAGACGAGGAGCUUGCUCCUCUGACGUUAGCGGCGGACGGGUGAGUAACACGUGGAUAACCUACCUAUAAGACUGGGAUAACUUCGGGAAACCGGAGCUAAUACCGGAUAAUAUAUUGAACCGCAUGGUUCAAUAGUGAAAGACGGUUUUGCUGUCACUAUAGAUGGAUCCGCGCCGCAUUAGCUAGUUGGUAAGGUAACGGCUUACCAAGGCGACGAUGCGUAGCCGACCUGAGAGGGUGAUCGGCCACACUGGAACUGAGACACGGUCCAGACUCCUACGGGAGGCAGCAGUAGGGAAUCUUCCGCAAUGGGCGAAAGCCUGACGGAGCAACGCCGCGUGAGUGAUGAAGGUCUUCGGAUCGUAAAACUCUGUUAUUAGGGAAGAACAAAUGUGUAAGUAACUAUGCACGUCUUGACGGUACCUAAUCAGAAAGCCACGGCUAACUACGUG